rnacentral:rRNA from 1 species
CGAGCACGCGCGUGUGGCAUAUCAAUAAGCGGAGGAAAAGAAACUAACAAGGAUUCCCUUAGUAACGGCGAGUGAAGCGGGAAGAGCUCAAAUUUGUAAUCUUCAAGGUUCUACCUUGACGAAUUGUAGUUUAUAGAAGUGUUUUCUGUUAGUGGAGUGGCAAAAGUUCUUUGGAAUAGGACAUCAUAGAGGGUGAGAAUCCCGUAUUUGGUCAUUCCUCCUAGCGUUGUGAUACACUUUCAACGAGUCGGAUUGUUUGGGAAUGCAGUCCAAAAUGGGUGGUAAAUUUCAUCUAAAGCUAAAUAUUGGCGAGAGACCGAUAGCGAACAAGUACCGUGAGGGAAAGAUGAAAAGAACUUUGAAAAGAGAGUUAAACAGUACGUGAAAUUGUCAAAAGGGAAGCGUUUGACACCAGUGUUGUUUUUCCGAAAAUCAAUUACGAAUGUUUUACUUUUGAGGAGUUAUGACUUCAUCGGCUUGCUCCUUUCUUUAUGAAACUUUCUUAAUGCACUUUUCGGUUAACAAGUCAACAUCAAUUUCUUUUGUUGUAAAAGGGUCAUUGAGGAAGGUGGCUUUCUUUUCGGAGAAAGUGUUUAUAGCCUUGUGACUCCUGACAAUCGGAGAGACUGAGGUCUGCAGCGUAGAUCCUUCGGGGUUAGAUACGUUUGUGCUAAGUUAUAGCUUUUCAUAGACAACUUGUUGACUAUGUUUAGUCUUGUAGCUUACUCGCUGAUGCUAUUUUACCUACGCUUAGGAUGUUGAGUAGCGACAUACGCAC